CUUCCAUACAGUUCAUCCAACUGCUCGAUGUUGAAAACAAAACUCUAUGCCAAUUUCUUGCAUCGACUCUCGGCCAAGGAGCUAGUUGUAUUAUACAUGAUGCGAGUAUGAAUCUGAUUCAGGAAUUUCUACACGUGUUUCUCGUGUCGUAUUCGACAAACUAUUAUGUUGUGGGAUAUUCCAAUGAUCAGUGGGGAAUACGAUUCAAAUUUCCUUUAUCGUUGCCAAACAUCAGUCGAGGCGAUGAUAAACACGGUGACCACUCGACGUUGUUAGAUUCCUCAACCACCGGAAGCUUGCCUGUUCACCUGAAGGGUUUAUCUUUUACCCGGAAUACUGGCAGUAACCUUUUCGCUUGGGGAAACGUCCUCUU